rnacentral:lncRNA from 1 species
CAUCAAGGGAAGGAGGAUUUAGUCUCCUAAACUCAGAAAAUUUUUUAGCAAUGGUUUUUUCUACAUGACAAAAAUCAUUGGCAGGGAGUCUGAUCUCAGUUAAACCUACAGUAGCGGUUAAACCUUGGAUGGCUUAUAAUAAUUCUGUGAAGUCAGCCUAACUCGAAGCAUUCUAGGCCUUAGGAUGUUCUACGGAUGGUCUCCCUUGAGUCAUU